rnacentral:rRNA from 1 species
UACAGAGGUCCCAAGCGUUGUUCGGAUUCAUUGGGCGUAAAGGGUGCGUAGGCGGCGCGGUAAGUCGGGUGUGAAAUCUCGGAGCUUAACUCCGAAACUGCAUUCGAUACUGCCGUGCUUGAGGACUGGAGAGGAGACUGGAAUUUACGGUGUAGCGGUGAAAUGCGUAGAUAUCGGGAGGAACACCGGUGGCGAAGGCGGUUCUCUGGGCCUUACCUGACGCUGAGGAGCGAAAGCUAGGGGAGCGAACUGG